UUUGUCAGUGGCGAGCAGAUAAAUUAUUUUCCUUGGGCAGAGGUAAAUAAUUUAUCUGCGAGCCACUGACAAAUCGCGAUAUUU